rnacentral:rRNA from 1 species
CCUACGGGAGGCAGCAGUGAGGAAUAUUGGACAAUGGGCGCAAGCCUGAUCCAGCCAUGCCGCGUGCAGGAUGACGGUCCUAUGGAUUGUAAACUGCUUUUAUACAGGAAGAAACACCUCUACGUGUAGAGACUUGACGGUACUGUAAGAAUAAGGAUCGGCUAACUCCGUGCCAGCAGCCGCGGUAAUACGGAGGAUCCAAGCGUUAUCCGGAAUCAUUGGGUUUAAAGGGUCCGUAGGCGGUUUAGUAAGUCAGUGGUGAAAGCCCAUCGCUCAACGGUGGAACGGCCAUUGAUACUGCUAGACUUGAAUUAUUAGGAAGUAACUAGAAUAUGUAGUGUAGCGGUGAAAUGCUUAGAGAUUACAUGGAAUACCAAUUGCGAAGGCAGGUUACUACUAAUUGAUUGACGCUGAUGGACGAAAGCGUGGGUAGCGAACAGGAUUAGAUACCCUGGUAGUCCACGCCGUAAACGAUGGAUACUAGCUGUUCGGUAGNAUCUGAGUGUGUAGAGAAGUAGAGUAAGUAGUCCGACCGUAACGGGUAGGUACGUUCGUUCGUAAGAAGUUAAGUAAACGUUAAAGUUAGUUAGUUAGUUACGGGACGUUGAGACGUUAGCGACGGACGACGACGAGGGAGGAGG